AGAGUUUGAUCAUGGCUCAGAACGAACGCUGGCGGCGUGGAUAAGACAUGCAAGUCGGACGCUGAUUGCCGGAUAGCAAUAUUUGGCGGUCGGAGUGGCGUAAGGGUGCGUAACACGUGGGUAAUCCGCCCUGAAGUUGGGGAUAACUCGCUGAAAGGCGAGCUAAUACCGAAUGUGGAUCUUGAGUGGCAUCGCUUGAGAUCUAAAGUUGGGGACCGUAAGGCCUGACGCUUCAGGAUGAGCCCGCGGCCUAUCAGCUUGUUGGUGAGGUAACGGCUCACCAAGGCUAAGACGGGUAGCUGGUCUGAGAGGACGACCAGCCACACUGGAACUGAGACACGGUCCAGACACCUACGGGUGGCAGCAGUCGAGAAUUUUUCACAAUGGGCGAAAGCCUGAUGGAGCGACGCCGCGUGGGGGAUGAAUGGCUUCGGCCCGUAAACCCCUGUCAUUUGCGAACAAACCUUGCCCGCUAACACCGGUCGAGCUGAUUGUAGCGAAAGGGGAAGGGACGGCUAACUCUGUGCCAGCAGCCGCGGUAAUACAGAGGUCCCAAGCGUUGUUCGGAUUCACUGGGCGUAAAGGGUGCGCAGGUGGUCGGGUAAGUCUGAUGUGAAAUCCCGCAGCUUAACUGCGGAAUGGCAUUGGAUACUAUUCGGCUAGAGGGUUGGAGGGGGGACUGGAAUUCUCGGUGUAGCAGUGAAAUGCGUAGAUAUCGAGAGGAACACCAGUGGCGAAGGCGAGUCCCUGGACAACUCCUGACGCUGAGGCACGAAAGCUAGGGGAGCAAACAGGAUUAGAUACCCUAGUAGUCC
rnacentral:rRNA from 1 species